AUACUCUGGUUUCUCUUCAGAUCGUAUAAAUCUUUCGCCUUUUACUAAAGAUUUCCGUGGAGAGGAACAACUCUGAGUCUUAAGCCAAUUUUUUGAGGCCUUGCUUCGGCAAGGCU
rnacentral:snRNA from 1 species